UCCACCUGCAAAAAAAACCAAAAAAAAAACCAAAAACAACCUUCAAUUAGCAAAUUUGGAAACGUAUUCAUGUAAAAGACGCCUAGUGCAUCUCUUUCCCGUGCCCUCAACCUUCUCUCCUCGUAUUCUGAAGGGUCCUUUGGCUGCGAUCAUCUCAAACAGAGUCACUCCCAGAGUGAAAUAAUCCACUGUGUAGUCGUAUUCCUUUUUCUGGAGCAGCUCAGGAGCCAUGAAACCUUUUAAAGCAUAUUAUAAAGUGAAUAUUCACACAGAAGUAACUAUAGUUGGAGAAAGAUAUUUUUUUUCCCCUGACUUGCUAAGUUAUUCCACUUACCGGGAGUUCCCGCAUAGCCAGUAGUUUUGUCUUUUCCUGGAGGAAGUUCAACAGCCAGGCCCAGAUCUGAGAGGCGGACGUGUCCUGAGUGACAAGUCACGUAAUUACAUUAAUGCUGUUGAAUAAAUCAACGCUGCUGCAAAGGCCCCCAGCCAGGAAGAAAGAAUAAAUAGAAGACAAAGAAGGCACCAAAGUUUGGGAUCGGUUCACUUUUUACCAAAUUGAAGAUCAAGUAUACAAUAUAUGUACUGCAAAACAAAAUAAGCCGUUCAGAGAAUGCACCGAAUCAACAUGAGUUCAUUUAUUAUAGCCUACCACCAGUGCAUUGGUUAUUUGUGCUCCAUGCAGAAGCACCAAAAAUUUUUUGCUCCUCAGAUCUAACCUGCAUCAUCCAGCAGGACAUUCUCUGGCUUCAGGUCUCUGUAGAUGAUCCGGUGCUGAUGAAGGUGCUCCAGGCCGCAGAUGAUCUGUGCUGUGUAGAAAGAAGCUCUCUUCUCGUUGAAACCGGGAUUUUUUUCGUCCACGUUGUACAUAUGAAACCUGAUGCAGGAUGGAGAACAUUAUGCAGCUUUGGAUUCAACUGUAUCAAUAUUGGUCUAAAGACAUCUUUAGCCUCUUAAGUACUUCUUACUGUCUGACUUAAAGUGUGACGCACCUGACGGCCUAGUGAGAAUGUUUGCUUGAAGGUUUAUCUAUACUUGAACUAAUUAGCAGACAUGGGAGUGCAUUAGGGGCAGCGCUGUGAGCUAGUGGUUAGUGUGUCUGCUUCCGAGUUCAUCACUAGUACAGUACAAUUUACCCUUACAAGUUUCCCCUUAGCUUGGAUUGGUUUUCUCUGGGUGCUAAGGCUUAUUCCGAUAUUCCCAAACAUGCACGGUUCAGUGGCAAUUUCUGAUUGUGCAGUAUGUGCUGUUGCACAGGUCAGAAAUCCCCAUAUCCCCAAAUUAUCCAUCCAUCCAUCCAUCCAUCCAUCCAUCCAUCCAUUUUUGAGGGUCACAGGCGUACUGGGGGCUAUCCCAGCUGUUUUGGGGCAGUAGACAGGGGACACCCUGGACUGGUUGCCAGCCAAUCGCAGGGCACACAUAGAUGAACAACCAUUCACGCUCACACUCACACCUCGGGACAGUUUAGAGUGCUCCAUGAACCUUCCAUGCAUGUCUUUGGAAUGUCGGAGCAAACCGAAGUACCCGGAGAAAACCCACGCAGGCACGGAGAGAACAUGCAAACUCCCCGAGACUGGAGCUGGAAUCGAACUCUGCACAUCUGCACUGUGAGGCGAAUGUGAUGAGCAGUCGGGCCCCCAGCCCCACCCAAAAAAUAAAAUAUAUGUGCCAUGGUUUUCUCUUGACCUCAUGACAUGUAAAUCAUUGGGGUUCGCAUGUAUAGUACACUCCAACAAAAAAAAAGUGUUUUAAGUUUUUCCCCAUGUCAAUUCAUUUGCCAGGUCUAAUGCAAGGUUUCCAUUGACAUCUAACUCUUCUUUCAAAUACAAUUUACUUUGAUUUUAUUUUUUCAUUAGGGCCAAGAAUAUAUAUUUUUAUGUAUAGAAGGAAUGUGUGGUCAUUCCUGGGUAAUGAUGGGAAAUGUAGUUAUUUAUUGUAAGCAACUUCAUCCUUAAGGGCCUUGCUCCGUUGAUAUCUAAUGUUCUCUCUUGGCGUGUGUGUGUGUGUGUGUGUGUGUGUGUCUGUGGUGAGUUUUUGCAUAAAGCACCUGAGAUCCCCGCCAUU